AUGAAAAGCACUUUGAAAAGAGGGUGAAAAGAACCUGAAACCGUCACGGGGGAAGCGGAUUGCGUUGGCCUGGUGGGUACUUGUGUGUUCAGCCCUUUUGGGUGCAUUGACACUUGUGCUUAUUCGUCGUGGGUUUUCGGGGAUCGAUAUUGGAUCCCUGGAGGCUGAGGGCUCCCUUCGGGUGAGGACGACGGAGUGACGACGCGAUACGACCCGUCUUGAAACACGGACCAAGGAGUCUAGCGCGAGUGCGAGUCGGAGGGUGCAAGCCCGUGGGCGUAGUGAAAGCGAGUUUAAAAACGAGCAGUUUGGGGCGGCAUAAGAUCGUUGAUCUUAAGACCGACCCGGAGCAGUUGCGCUGGGACCCGAAAGAUGGUGAACUAUGCCGGAGUAGGGCAAAGCCAGAGGAAACUCUGGUGGAGGCUCGUAGCGGUGCUGACGUGCAAAUCGCUCGUCCAACUUGGGUAUAGGGGCGAAAGACUAAUCGAACCAUCUAGUAGCUGGUUCCCUCCGAAGUUUCUCUCAGGAUAGCGGGCCGACAAGUUGUUUUGUGC
rnacentral:rRNA from 1 species